rnacentral:rRNA from 1 species
GUUGUAUGGUUAAGUGACUAAGCGUACAUGGUGGAUGCCUUGGCAGUCAGAGGCGAUGAAGGACGUACUAACCUGCGAUAAGCUGUGAGAAGUCGGUAAGAGACGCUAUUACUCACAGAUUUCCGAAUGGGGAAACCCACCCGAGAUAACUCGGGUAUCUGUUACUGAAUACAUAGGUAACAGAGGCGAACCGGGAGAACUGAAACAUCUAAGUACCCCGAGGAAAAGAAAUCAACCGAGAUUCCCUCAGUAGCGGCGAGCGAACGGGGAUUAGCCCUUAAGCAUCUUGGAAGUUAGUGGAACGGUCCUGGAAAGGCCGGCGAUACAGGGUGAUAGCCCCGUACACGAAAACAACCUUGAUGUGAAAUCGAGUAGGGCGGGACACGUGACAUCCUGUCUGAAUAUGGGGGGACCAUCCUCCAAGGCUAAAUACUCCUGACUGACCGAUAGUGAACCAGUACCGUGAGGGAAAGGCGAAAAGAACCCCUGUGAGGGGAGUGAAAUAGAACCUGAAACCGUGUACGUACAAGCAGUGGGAGCCCUUCGGGGUGACUGCGUACCUUUUGUAUAAUGGGUCAGCGACUUACAUUUUGUAGCGAGGUUAACCGUAUAGGGGAGCCGUAGGGAAACCGAGUCUUAACUGGGCGUCUAGUUGCAAGGUGUAGACCCGAAACCGGGUGAUCUAGCCAUGGGCAGGUUGAAGGUUGAGUAACAUCAACUGGAGGACCGAACCCACUAACGUUGCAAAGUUAGGGGAUGACCUGUGGCUGGGGGUGAAAGGCCAAUCAAACUCGGAGAUAGCUGGUUCUCCCCGAAAGCUAUUUAGGUAGCGCCUCGGACGAAUACUACUGGGGGUAGAGCACUGUUUGGGCUAGGGGGUCAUCCCGACUUACCAACCCCAUGCAAACUCCGAAUACCAGUAAGUAAUAUCCGGGAGACACACGGCGGGUGCUAACGUCCGUCGUGAAGAGGGAAACAACCCAGACCGCCGGCUAAGGUCCCAAAGUUCUGGUUAAGUGGGAAACGAUGUGGGAAGGCUCAGACAGCUAGGAUGUUGGCUUAGAAGCAGCCAUCAUUUAAAGAAAGCGUAAUAGCUCACUAGUCGAGUCGGCCUGCGCGGAAGAUGUAACGGGGCUCAAACCAGGCACCGAAGCCGCGGAUUCA